CCGUGGGGAUUCGUCCCCAUUGAGAUAGCACCCUUUGUUUAUGAGUACCAUUUGUUUCCUCGGCGGGCUUGCUCGCCGCUAGGACCCCCCAAUAAACCUAUUGUAGUAGCAGUAACGUCAGUUAAAACAAAAAAUAUUA
rnacentral:misc_RNA from 1 species